AGCGAACGCUGGCGGCAGGCUUAACACAUGCAAGUCGAGCGGGCCCUUCGGGGUCAGCGGCGGACGGGUGAGUAACGCGUGGGAACGUGCCUUCUGGUCUGGAAUAACCCUGGGAAACUAGGGCUAAUACCGGAUACGCCCUUUUGGGGAAAGGUUUACUGCCGGAAGAUCGGCCCGCGUCUGAUUAGCUAGUUGGUGGGGUAACGGCCUACCAAGGCGACGUUCAGUAGCUGGUCUGGGAGGAUGAUCAGACACACUUGGACUGAGACACGGCGCAGACUCCGACGGGAGGCAGCAGAGGGGAAUAUUGGACAAUGGGCGCAAGCCUGAUCCAGCCAUGCCGCGUGAGUGAUGAAGGCAUUAGGGUUGUAAAGCGCUUUUAUCCGGGACGAUAAUGACGGUACCGGAUGAAUAAGCCCCGGCUAACUUCGUG
rnacentral:rRNA from 1 species